GCAUGGCUAUGGAUUUAUGGCAGGGUCUUCCCUAUGAUCCUUUCAUAGUGUACUCCAUGCUAAAUGAACACUUCUACUCCGAACCAUUGACUGGCCUCUUAAAUGUAGACUUGUUCACUGAAGUGAGUAGAACAUGC